AGCGAACGCUGGCGGCAGGCUUAACACAUGCAAGUCGAGCGGGCAUAGCAAUAUGACAGCGGCAGACGGGUGAGUAACGCGUGGGAACGUACCUUUUGGUUCGGAACAACACAGGGAAACUUGUGCUAAUACCGGAUAAGCCCUUACGGGGAAAGAUUUAUCGCCGAAAGAUCGGCCCGUGUCUGAUUAGCUAGUUGGUGAGGUAAUGGAUCACCAAGGCGACGAUCAGUAGCUGGUCUGAGAGGAUGAUCAGCCACAUUGGGACUGGGACACGGCCCAAACUCCUACGGGAGGCAGCAGUGGGGAAUAUUGGACAAUGGGCGCAAGCCUGAUCCAGCCAUGCCGCGUGAGUGAUGAAGGCCCUAGGGUUGUAAAGCUCUUUUGUGCGGGAAGAUAAUGACGGUACCGCAAGAAUAAGCCCCGGCUAACUUCGUGCCAGCCGCCGCAGUAA
rnacentral:rRNA from 1 species